CACACCAUUACUGACAAACCGGUCAUGCUGGAGGAUGUUGCAGGCAGCAGAAUGUUCUUCACAGUGUCUCCAGACUGUCAUGUCUGUCGACUGUGCUCAGUGUGAACCUGCUUUCGUCUGUGAAGAGCACAGGGCGCAAGUGGCGAAUUUGCCAAUCUUGGUGUUCUCUGGCAAAUGCCAAACGUCCUGCACAGUGUUGGGCUGUAAGCACAACCCCCACCUGUGGACAUUGGGCCCUCAUGUUUCUGACCAUUUGAGGAGACACAUGCACAUUUGUGGCCUGCUGGAGGUCAUUUUGCAGGGCUCUGGCA